CAAGAUCAUAUCUUUUAAUUUCUAUGUUGUUCAAGAUUUCACUUUUCUGUGGCUUCUUUGUUUUUUUUUUUUUUCUGGGUGUGUGAGAUAUCUUGUUUUUCAUGUGAAUUAAUUAUUUAUCUUGUCGAUAACUUCAUUAAUUUGUUACUCUUUAAACACCAAUUGAGGUUAUUCUAUGAAAUCAUUUCCAAAAAAGAUACCUUCAAGUGAAAAUACCAGAGUUUUCUUGACAAGUAUGUAGACUGCUUUUGUCCUAAGAGUCAUAUGUAGCACUAUACUUGUAUUGGAUUCGAUAUUAAUUAGUACAACUAGCCUUUUCAAAAAAUUAAUUAGUACAACUAGUUCUAAAGGUAUAUCCAUUUUACGAGACUUACCAAGGAGGAAUUAAUACGCAGAUAUUGGAUCAUGUUCAGCAGUAAGGUAAUGUUAGAUUUUUCAUGUCUUAGGAAAAUGUUUCCCAAGAAUUACAAAAGAUGCUUGACAUAUUUUCUUCACUGUUCAUUUUUUAUUAAACAUUGUUACAUUAAGGUGGUGUUAUGUGAGCCCUUCCCCGUUAUACAUCUUUACUUCUAUUUUACAAAAUUUUCACCAUCCUCUCCUUCGAGCAUGCAUAGAAGGUGUUGGUUUAAAUGAUUUACCAAUAGCCUUUCUCUGACUAGGGAUGUCUAGGAUUAGGACUUUCGAGAAAUCGAGGUCUGCUUGGCCUGAUCCUCAAAUCUUUUUCUCUGCCUCAAAGAUUUCAUCAUUUUCUUCAAGUGUAUAUACAAAACAAAACUAGAUAGUGAAACAUGUAUUUGUUAAUAUCAGAACUAAUUUACUUAAAAGGAGACAAUCAUAAACUGUGAAUGGAAUUGUUAACAAAAUACCCCAAUCGGCUAUUUCUUCAUGUUAUUAGCUUGAUGCUAGCAGGUACACUACAGAGCUAUUAGAUUUUUCAUGUCAUAGGUAACAAUGUGUCCUAGGUAAUAGGGGAUGCUCGAUGUGAUUUUUUCAAUAUAAAGUUUUGGUAAUAACAUUGUUGUGUCAUCGUGUUAAGGUCUCGUGUAUGAGACAUUCGUGUUUUACAUCUUUAUUUCCAUUUUACAAGACUUACUAUAACAAGUUACUAAUACAGAGAUAUCUACCUUUUCUAGAAGUAAAAGCGAAUGUUAGAUUUUUCAUGUCAUGGAAAUGAUAUCCGGGGAAAUUGGGGAUGCUUGAUGUAGUUUCUUCAGUAUAAAUGUUUGAUAACAACUUGGCUGUGCCAUUCCAUUAAGCUAUUUUCAUUUGAGCCUUUUGUAUUUUACGUCUUUAUUUUCAUUUUACAAAGCUUACUCGUGUAUAGAAGUAAAAGUGGAUAUUAUACUUUUUAUGUCGUAGGAAAUAGUGUUUCCUGAGAAUUAGGAGAUGCUUGAUGUAUUUCUUCAAUAUUAAGUUUUUGAUAAUGUUGUUGUUUGAUCGUUAAGGUGUCAUUACAUAAGCCUUUAAUUAUUUCGCAUCUUUCUUUUUAUUGCACAAAACUCACUUUACUCCUGCUAAUAAGAAGAUAUUGAGCAUGUGCUGAAGUACUAGUGGAUGGUGGAUCUUUCCUGUCAUAGGAGUGAUCAGUGAUGUUUCCUACUAAAAGGAGAUUGUUGAUGUAUUUUCUAGAAAUAUUUGGUUUCAAUAACAAUGUUAUUGUAUCAUUGCAUUGAGGUUGCUUUUCUUUCUUUACAUUCCUAUUUUCAUUUCACAAAAUUAUCUGCUACUGUUACUAAUAUGGAGUUAUUGGUCAUGCAUUGAAGUACAACUUGAUAUCGUGUUUUCAAGUCACAGGAAUGUUGUUUCCUACGAAAUAGGACUGAUGCAUUUUUGUUGAAUAGUUUUGAUAGCAACAUUGCUGCAUCAUUGCAUUAAGGUGUUGAUUUGUGAGCCUUACAAACUUAAUUCGGAGAUAUUGAUAUUUUCUAGAAGUAAAAAUGGAAAUACCUUUUUUUUCCCUUUUUGUGGAUGAUGGUGGCGUCCGGGUCAGCUUGCGCGCACCUCAACUAUUCUAUCGAGUACCUUCUACCUCCCACCAGCACAGUUUCCAGUAAGGUGUCAUUAUGUGAGGCUUUCUUGUUUUGCGUCUUUAUUGCCCUCUCUUGGAAACUUUGAGAAUAUGGCAUUCAUCAACUAAAAAAUUUAUCUGCUCGAUUUCACGUGGUCUUCUACCGUCAAAUGUUUUCAUUCAGAAGAACAUCCCAACUUCCAAGUUGCUGGUCCAAUCCCUUGAAGGAAGUUCCUUGCAGCCUUUAGUGACACAGAGAACAUUUGUUUUUAUGGUGGGAUUUCUAAUGUCCCAAAAUCCAAGUUGAGUUAUAGAAUCCAUAAAUUGAGGAAAUGAUGACAUUAACUUAAACAUCAUGAUCAUGCUUGCUACUCCACUUGUGAUUCUUCUUUUUUCAUUUUAUAUAUCUCAAUGCUGAACUUAGUCUUCGGAAUACGAGCUUUGCAUUACAUGAACGUCUUCAUCAUUUUUAUCUCCUCAUGGAUAAGACUUUGCAUGACACAUAUUUUUUCAAACGGACAGAAACCUGCUAAAAGCUUAAAACAAUAAAAUUGUUUGCUAAUGGUAACCUAUAUUUCUAGGGAAAAUCGUCUUUCACAAUCCUUAGACCUUAUUCUAAGAUCUCAUCAUGUACAUAUAAAAACAUCAUGGAAGCUAGGGCCUCCAUCUAAAGAUCCCUCAUGUUUCUACUUCGCUGAAAUGUGCAACCUCUGAUGGUCCAAGGGUUGUUCUAACUUACUAUGGUUUAUGGUUGAGGAAGAAAUUUCUCUUUUAUGCAGACUAUACUUGCUUGUUGGUCCUUAAAUUGCCCUUAAUAUGUAAGGUGAGAUCCUGUUGUGUAAAUUGGGUUUAACAUGAUCCCCAACUAUCAUCCAAGCUUGGAUGAGAAGUGGAUUAUGAGAACUUUAUUAGGUGCUUCCAGGGAGUUGGUUAAAUUCUUGCAAUACUAGUACUUGGGUAAGUCAGCAUGCACAACAGGAAUUGGCAAGGUCGAAAGACAAAGAUGUAACGUAUAAGGCAAUGGCUUAAGGAAGAGAUAACCAUCAUUAUGUUUAUCUGCAGAAGAUAUGUUCUACACCACCCUACAAGUGAAGGACAAAUUCAUCAUCUGUUUGCUGAGAGAGGUGCUUCAGUAUUUAUAUAUGAGUUAACCUCGCGUUAUGCCCUGUCAGAUGUCUGGUAGUGUUUAUAAGUGACUGAUCUUUUAUUAUGUUGUGAAAUGAAAUUGCAUCUUCUGGAU